rnacentral:rRNA from 1 species
UACGUAGGCACCAAGCGUUGUCCGGAUUUAUUGGGCGUAAAGAGCUCGUAGGCGGUUCGGUAAGUCGGGUGUGAAAACUCUGGGCUCAACCCAGAGCCGCCACCCGAUACUGCUGUGACUCGAGUGCGGUAGGGGAGCGGGGAAUUCCUGGUGUAGCGGUGAAAUGCGCAGAUAUCAGGAGGAACACCAGUGGCGAAGGCGCCGCUCUGGGCCGUGACUGACGCUGAGGAACGAAAGCUAGGGGAGCAAACGGG